GAUGAACGCUGGCGGCGUGCCUAAUACAUGCGAGUCGAGCGAACAGACGAGGAGCUUGCUCCUCUGACGUUAGCGGCGGACGGGUGAGUAACACGUGGAUAACCUACCUAUAAGACUGGGAUAACUUCGGGAAACCGGAGCUAAUACCGGAUAAUAUAUUGAACCGCAUGGUUCAAUAGUGAAAGACGGUUUUGCUGUCACUUAUAGAUGGAUCCGCGCCGCAUUAGCUAGUUGGUAAGGUAACGGCUUACCAAGGCGACGAUGCGUAGCCGACCUGAGAGGGUGAUCGGCCACACUGGAACUGAGACACGGUCCAGACUCCUACGGGAGGCAGCAGUAGGGAAUUUUCCGCAAUGGGCGAAAGCCUGACGGAGCAACGCCGCGUGAGUGAUGAAGGUCUUCGGGUCGUAAAACUCUGUUAUUAGGGAAGAACAAAUGUGUAAGUAACUAUGCACGUCUUGACGGUACCUAAUCAGAAAGCCACGGCUAACUACGUG
rnacentral:rRNA from 1 species